AGCACGGAUCAGAAGUGAACUGUUCUACUACACAUCUGUUUUGCCUAACUUAAAGCAGCCAGCCUCUUCAUGAGCACAGAGCAGAGAAAUGAAAUCUGCAUUACCUCUAAGUGAAGAUCGUCGUAUAGAACGCAAGCUUCCAUGGAAACUUCAGGAACAUAAAAGGAAAUGUUCUGACGGUAAUUUCAGAGAUCUGUCCCUGUGCAUAGAUUUAACGGAGGCAUGUCACCUUGAAACCUGACAAGUCUCUGGGGAUUUACACAUGCUUACGGGCAAGAUGGGAGAGAAGACUUAGCCAACCGGCUGGGAGCAUGCAACACUGCCACAGAACAAGAGAGAUCCCACCUCAACAAG
rnacentral:lncRNA from 1 species